AGCAGCCGCGGUAAUUCCAGCUCCAAUAGCGUAUAUUAAAGUUGUUGCAGUUAAAAAGCUCGUAGUUGAAUUUCGGGAUCAAAUUGUUGGUCGUGCCUCGGUACGCACUGGUAUUAUUGGUUCCUACCUUCUGAAGAACCGCGAUGUCAUUAAUUUGGUGUCGUGGGGAAUCAGGACUGUUACUUUAGAAAAAUUAGAGUGUUUAAAGCAGGCUUACGCUUGAAUACAUUAGCAUGGAAUAAUGAAAUAGGACGUUUGAUUCUAUUUUGUUGGUUUCUAGGAUUGACGUAAUGAUUAAUAGGGAUAGUUGGGGGCAUUAGUAUUCAAUUGUCAGAGGUGAAAUUCUUGGAUUUAUUGAAGACUAACUACUGCGAAAGCAUUUGCCAAGGAUGUUUUCAUUAAUCAAGAACGAAAGUUAGGGGAUCGAAGACGAUCAGAUACCGUCGUAGUCUUAACCAUAAACUAUGCCGACUAGGGAUCGGAUGAUGUUAAUUUUUAAUGAC
rnacentral:rRNA from 1 species